rnacentral:misc_RNA from 1 species
CACCACUCAAGCCUCGCUUGGUAUUGGGCGUCGCGAGUCUCUCGCGCGCCUCAAAGUCUCCGGCUGUCUGACCCGUCUCCCAGCGUUGUGGCAACUAUUUCGCAGUGGAGUUCGAGUUCGGCGCGGCCGUUAAAUCUUUCAAA